GAGAAAAGCCUUAAUAAAGUUGCGGGUUUUUCCAGCCUCAGCAGCAGAACUUCUCCAGAACCCGAUCAGAACCGCCUCCUAACACUUAACUCUUUCUGUUGCAGUCAGAUCACAAACAUCUGGAGGUCCUUCAGACCAACGUGACGGAGCGCCGGGUCCAGACCGCGGUUCUGCUGAGCGUCAAGGCCGGGAGGGGGCGGGGCAUGGCGACAGGAGCGGGAACGCCAGGAGUCGAGGUCGUUCUGCAGGUUCCCAUAAACCAUCCAAGUCCAAAUGGUCGGAGUCGGAGGUGCGCGCCGUGGAGCAGCACCUGAUGGAGUUCAUCCGGAAGCAGCGAGUGCCGCAGAAGUACGACUGCCUGCAGUGUCUGGAGGCGGAGCCUCGGGCGCUCAGGGCGCGCUCGUGGAAGGCCGUGAAGGACUACGUCCGGAACCGGAUCACCGCGCUGCGCAGGCAGAGCGGCUGCGGCGCGAAGCCCGCAGGGAAACCCUCGGGAGAGAAAGCCAGAGCGGCGCCCCCCGUCCAGACGCGGGACGUCAGACCGGCAGCCCCCCCCAGAGCGGAUCAGACAGGAAACUCCAGGGCGCAGACCAAGGUGAAGUGGGCGGAGGCGGAGGUCCGCGCCGUGGAGAGGCACAUGAUGCGCUUCAUCACCCAGCACAAGGUGCCUCAGAAGAACGACUGCGUCCUGUGUCUGGAGGCGGAGCCUCAGGCGCUGCGGGCCCGCUCCUGGAAAGGCGUGAAGGACUACGUCCGAAACCGAAUCACCACGCUGCAGAGGCAGAGCGGCUCCUCCCGGCGCUCCAGAUCGGAGAGCUCUCGGCACAGGAGCGUCCUGCUGCAGCUGUAGCUGAAAAACCGCAGAAACAUUCCGGCUUGAAACGAAUGUUUUCCUUCGUUUAUGGAACUUUUGUUACCGUUUUAUAAAUCUAAAAGCUGAAGUUUUAUAGAUUUAUUGGAAGUUUGAAGGUUGGGAUCCACGUUUGGAGACUUAAGUCUAGUUAGAAUUACAUUUUUGAUUUUCCUUUGAAUGUUGAAGCAUUUUGUAAACAAACAAGUUCACUUUUCUGAGUAAAAGAUGUCAAAUAGAAACAUUUUGUUCAGAGGAUUUUGUUGCAAGUAUGUGGGUGUAAAUUGGGGCUGACUUUAUUUGAAACUUAAAUAAAACAAAUUGAAAAAAAUCUAUAAAUAUAUAAAAAAAAUAUAUUUAUUCCAUAGAUAAACAAAAUAAUUUUCUAAAAUAAAUUAUUCAUUAAUCAUUUCUUCAUUUAUUUUAUGAUUUAAAUCUUCUGUUUUUUAGGUUUCAAAACUCAAAAUUUUAAUUUCCAAACUUUUUUUCAGUAUAAAAGCUUUUUUUCACUUUCAAAUCUGAAAAUUUCAAAAUUGAAAGAGCAAAAAUGAAAGAGUUGAAAGUGAAAAAAUAUUUGAAACAGACAUAAAAAAAAAGGGAAUUUUUGCUUUUUGAAAAUUACAAAUUGUAAUAUUUGAAACUGAAAACAAUACAUUUUAUUUUAGAAUAGCAAAAAAUUUUAGACAUUUUACACCGAUAUUUUUUUUCAUUAUUUUUAUUUGGGUUUCAAAUAUUAUUUGGUUCAAUGGAGCUCCAUAUAAGUCCAGUUAGAAUUACCCUUUUUGUAAAAAAAA
rnacentral:lncRNA from 1 species